rnacentral:rRNA from 1 species
GACGAACGCUGGCGGCGUGCUUAACACAUGCAAGUCGAGCGGAAAGGCCCUUCGGGGUACUCGAGCGGCGAACGGGUGAGUAACACGUGAGUAACCUGCCCCAGACUUUGGGAUAACCCUCGGAAACGGGGGCCAAUACCGGAUACGACACAGCUUCGCAUGGGGUCUGUGUGGAAAGUUUUUCGGUUUGGAAUGGGCUCGCGGCCUAUCAGCUUGUUGGUGGGGUGAUGGCCUACCAAGGCGACGACGGGUAGCCGGCCUGAGAGGGCGACCGGCCACACUGGGACUGAGACACGGCCCAGACUCCUACGGGAGGCAGCAGUGGGGAAUAUUGCACAAUGGGCGGAAGCCUGAUGCAGCGACGCCGCGUGAGGGAUGACGGCCUUCGGGUUGUAAACCUCUUUCAGCAGGGACGAAGCGUAAGUGACGGUACCUGCAGAAGAAGCGCCGGCCAACUACGUG